GUUCAUAGCCAAACCUGCAAAUCAGAGAGAGAUUGCACACAGUCGAAAUCGUGCAAGCUAGAGCGCGAGAGAGAGGACAAUGGAAGGGAGAAAGCCUGUGUUCUACCAUGACAUUGCCCUCUUACUACUUUUGGUGUGGGUGGGUAGCUCCCUGUCUAUCUCAGAUUGCAUCGUAGCAGAUUUUUCGGCAAGAGUGGAGUUUCUUCCUGGCUUUGAAGGGCCCCUCCCACUCGAUUUCUUCUCCGGGUAUAUUAGUGUAGAUGAGGUGAAUGAAUAUAGACUGUUCUACUACUUUAUCAAGUCUGAGAAUAACCCAACAAAAGAUCCCCUCCUCCUUUGGCUCACUGGUGGUCCUGGGUGCACAGCUUUCAGUGGUCUCGUCUUCGAAACAGGCCCACUGCGCUUUAAGGUGGAGGAGUAUAAUGGAACUUUGCCAGCUCUUCAGUUCAAUCCUUAUUCUUGGACCAAGGUUGCUAACGUAAUAUAUGUGGAUUCACCUAUUGGAACUGGCUUUUCAUAUUCCAAAUCCCCUCCAGACUAUGCCACCAGCGAUUCCAAGACUGUCAAAGAUCUCCAUAAAUUUUUGACCAAUUGGUUCAUUGAAUACCCAGAAUUCUUGUCAAACCCACUUUACAUUGCAGGGGAUUCCUACUCAGGAAUAACAGUCCCAGUCUUAACUUAUGAAAUAGCCAAUGGCAUUGAUUCCGGUUAUCGACCUGUUUUUAAUCUCAAGGGUUACUUGGUGGGCAAUCCAGUCACAGAUGUUGAGUUUGAUUCCCAGUUAGUUCCAUUUGCUCAUGGGAUGGGCCUCAUAUCAGAUGAAUUGUUUGAGGCUACCAAGAUAAGUUGCAAUGGCAAGUAUGCUUUCCCAAAAGGUUCACAGUGUAAUGUAAAUAUGCAAGCUGUACAUGAGUGCCUUUCAAGAAUUAAUCCCGUCCACAUUUUGGAGCCAUUAUGCCCUUUUGCUUCUCCAAGGCCAAGAGUAGAAAUAGGAACAGGACUUAGGAGAUGGCUCCAUGAGAAUUCCUCUGGCAUACCUCUCCAGUCAACUCCUAUAUUUUGCAGGGGAACUGUAAAAGAAUGGAAAAGAUGCAACUAUGGUAUCAAUUUUAAAGCAGAUGUUACAAGUUCUGUUGUUUAUCAUUAUAAUUUGACUAUGAGAGGCUACUCAGCUCUCAUUUAUAGUGGAGAUCAUGAUAGUGGUGUUCCAUUUAUUGGUACUCAAGCUUGGAUAAGAUCUCUUGAGUUCCCGAUCAUUGAUGAUUGGAGAGCUUGGUUGGUUGAUGGCCAAGUUGCAGGCUACACCAGGAAGUACGCCAAUAAUUUGACCUUUGCUACUGUCAAGGCACUGGUAGACCGUUGAUCAAGAGAGCACCCAGCCAAUCUGCAUCACAAAAGCCGUGUAUAUCAAGGUGAAGUGACUGGUAUAAAGUAGUCCUCUCCCUAGAGCUGAUUUAAAAAAUUAUAACAUGCGAUAAACAACCUCCAAGUGAUGGGAGCAUGGUGAUUGCAUAAACUGACUCAACACUCCUACAGCAUCUACAACAUCUGCCUGUUAGACAAUCAAAGAGAUAAGUCUGCCUAAUCUCUAAUGUACAGCAAGGUUAUUUAGAUGCUCUGAUUGUUGCUCAUACGGUUUGUGAUUAACCUCUAUGGGAUAUCUGCAGGUUUCGCUCUGAGCAUUCCUGUGUCAUACAGUUUGUGAUUAACCACGUAUACUACCAGUAUUAUGGUUGAACAAGAAUCACUUUUAACAUACAAGAUAGAAGAUUCCUGUUUUUGUAGUCGACAUUUGAAAGUUGGACUAUGUAACCCAGGGGAGCCGGGCACACAGCUCCUGAGUAUAAGCCCAAAGAAUGCGCUGCAAUGUUAAAGAGGUGGAUCUCAAAUGAGCCAUUGUAAA